UGGGGAAUUUUGGACAAUGGGGGAAACCCUGAUCCAGCCAUCCCGCGUGUGCGAUGAAGGCCUUCGGGUUGUAAAGCACUUUUGGCAGGAAAGAAACGUCGCGGGUUAAUACCCCGCGAAACUGACGGUACCUGCAGAAUAAGCACCGGCUAACUACGUGCCAGCAGCCGCGGUAAUACGUAGGGUGCAAGCGUUAAUCGGAAUUACUGGGCGUAAAGCGUGCGCAGGCGGUUCGGAAAGAAAGAUGUGAAAUCCCAGAGCUUAACUUUGGAACUGCAUUUUUAACUACCGGGCUAGAGUGUGUCAGAGGGAGGUGGAAUUCCGCGUGUAGCAGUGAAAUGCGUAGAUAUGCGGAGGAACACCGAUGGCGAAGGCAGCCUCCUGGGAUAACACUGACGCUCAUGCACGAAAGCGUGGGGAGCAAACAGGAUUAGAUACCCUGGUAGUCCACGCCCUAAAACGAUGUCAACUAGCUGUUGGGGCCUUCGGGCCUUGGUAGCGCAGCUAACGCGUGAAGUUGACCGCCUGGGGAGUACGGUCGCAAGAUUAAAACUUAAAGGAAUU
rnacentral:rRNA from 1 species